rnacentral:rRNA from 1 species
UACGAAGGGGGCUAGCGUUGUUCGGAUUUACUGGGCGUAAAGCGCACGUAGGCGGAUCGUUAAGUCGGGGGUGAAAUCCUGGAGCUCAACUCCAGAACUGCCUUCGAUACUGGCGAUCUUGAGUCCGGAAGAGGUGAGUGGAAUUCCUAGUGUAGAGGUGGAAUUCGUAGAUAUUAGGAAGAACACCAGUGGCGAAGGCGGCUCACUGGUCCGGUACUGACGCUGAGGUGCGAAAGCGUGGGGAG